CUGCGAUUGCUCGCGGACGCUAGCAGACGCGCGGCAAACGGCGCCGAGCAAGUUGGCUUUUAUUCGCCCGGCCACUCGGUGAGGAGCCGUGCUCUCGCGACGGGACAGUCUGGUAGCCGCGGUCGUGAAUCUUUUACGAGCGCGUCGUGACCGUCUACGUCGUCGUGAUAGCAGCAGCGCGUUACGUCUCUCUUACUUUCAGUGCUAAAUUGUGUGUCCCGCUCUGCUGCGUGUGUCUUGUGCGGACGACCUUGCCCUCAGCCAGCUGCCGGAGCGAGGAGCAUCCCAGAGAAACACAUCGUAAAACGUGCAAUUGGGAAAUCACCGCGCCGCAAAAUGGGCUGUGUAUCGCAGUGCGCCAAGUACUUCCUCUGCCUGUUCAACUUUAUAUUCUUCAUCGCCGGAGGAGCGGCGUUGACUGUCGGUAUCUGGCUUUUCGCCGACAGGAGUUCCUUCACCAACUUGAUCGGCAAACUCGACCAAUCGGACAUCUUGAAUAAAACGGAUGCCGAUGUCAUCAAAGUGAUUGCCUACAUUCUUAUCAUAGCCGGCGCCCUCACGUUUAUUGUCAGCUUCCUUGGAUAUUGCGGUGCCAUGUUCGAGUCUAGAUGUCUUCUUUGUGUCUACGCCAUUCUACUCUCCCUGGUUUUACUCCUGGAGUUUGUAGUUUGUGGGCUCGCUUAUGGAUUUAGAGAAGCUGAUAAAGGUACGCAGGAUUUCUUGAAGUCAACCAUCAAGUACUACGCGACUACCGCCGACAAAGCUGAAACAGUGACAGUCGCAUGGGAUGGAAUUAUGACUGAGUUCCAUUGUUGCGGCGUGGAGAGUUAUCGAGACUUCAGCGAAAACACGAAUUUCACCGUAAACGGAAAGAUGGUUCCCGAAGCUUGUUGCAUAAAGGAGAACGGCGUUCUGAAGGACCCUAUCUGUCCAAUCAGUCCCACUGCCUCGAACUCGUAUUAUGAAACGGGUUGCUACAAGGCCAUAGUAAACGCCAUAAAGGAGAACGAGGCGAUAGUGAUCAGCGUGGCCGCUACUCUGCCUUUAAUCGAAUUUCUGGUCAUUGUUCUGGCGGUGUACCUAGUCUGCUUCCACUGGCGUCCGCAACAUGUUUAUCGAUGCGUAGAACCUUCUGGCAAGGAGUAACCUCGAGAGCGCAGAAUGUGCUAAGCUUUCUGCCAUGAAAAGAACGCAGUUCUUUUUCCUUUAAGGACUUCGCGAAUACCUCGACUGUGUUUUGUUAACUUGUUGGUGCUGCUGUUGACGAGGCAUUAAGAGCAUGGAACUGUUGAGUAGUGCCUCCUAGCACGUUGAGCCCUUUGUGCUCCUGUGCCUUGCUUGCUUGAAAGCUCUAGCCGCUGGCCCAGCCUAGGCUAGCUGAGAGAGGUCGGCCGACAGAUACAAAAUCCUGAAACGCUUGUAUGACGAAACGUUUCGGGAAAAAUUUGCCGGCAGUGACGUAGGGGAUAUUUUUUAGGUGACACACGCGCGCGCGCGCGCACACAUACACACACACACACACACACAAAACACAUUGUGCUUUUCUCAAAGAGAGGCUCCGUGUGCUUACGCGUCGCAGCGAAAUUACAAAAAGAGGGAACAAGUACAAAAUUAUUUUAGUACAAUUUUCGCUGCAGAAAGGUCUGUCCUUGGAAAAAAAAAGUAGAAGAGGAAUAUAAUCACGAGAGAACACACGCCCUAAGUUAUGUAUCUUGAACUAUCUCGUAACUCUGUGAAGUGUGUGUCACCUACACUUGUAUAUAAUUGUAUAAGAAGAAGAAGUAUAUUGAAUUGUAGCGGAUACAAAAUAUCCCCGGCGUCACUGUGGACUGACAACGUUUCGUAGUUUCUGCUGAGUGUUUAUAUCGUGUGGAGGUACAAGCGUUUAAAAUAACAGCCAGUUGAGGUAUCGUAUCCGUGUAUGUACCGCGAGAACGACAACCCGAUAACGAAGAACUAUAUUGUGCAACCAUGCGUUUCUUUUCGUUUCCCCGGCGGCGUUUGUCGUCUCACAGAUCAUCGGCGAAAGAAUGUCGGAUAACGGAUAGCAGCUGUGUACAUACUCGCAACUCCCGAUAUAUAACGUUAGAUAUUUUCAUAAAUAUUUUAGAUGCUUGUAUCAUAUAAACUCGGAAUACUCACGCGUUUCUCGUCCAUUCUCAGAUAGUGGACAGUGGAAUAUACAUAUAUGACGAUAUAAUAAUCGUAAUCAAGAAGUACCGAUGUAUUUUUUCUCUCACGGAUAUAUUUUCUGUACAUUCACCAUUCUCUUCUCCCUUUGCCUUUUUGUUUUUUCUUUCAACAUUUUUAUUGCGUUCAACGAAAUCGUGUAAGAGCUUCUUACGUACACUUACUACGUAUAUAACAAAUAGAGCUUUACACUCGAGGUAGCAGUCGGAGAGAUACAUGUGUCAUUGUCAAAUACUAACGAGUUCAUGCAACCAAUUAUUAUGAAACGCGAAUAUUUUUAGCAAAAUGAGAGAAGAGAUGUUAUUGAUGCGAAAGGUAAGGAGGUCGCGUAAAGUAAAUUCCUGAUUUACGCAUAAAAUGAAAGUCUCAUAUAUUUAUAUAGUAUAUUUUGACUUCAUGAUGUAUGCUUCUAGCUUUGUAUUUUCCUAAUGUACCUGGUUAAUAAAUCGGAGUCAGACGUAGCGGGCAAAUAUCUAAACAACGACGAGGCUACGUCGUCGCAUUGACGUUGACAGCGUAUGUUGGUGAAAGAGAAUUUUAUAUAUUUAUCUUACGUAUAUAUCGCGAAGUCAAAGUGCGUACGUAUUUAUAUUGAAUAUGAACUCUCUUUUUUUUGUCAAUUGCCGUGUAUGGAAAUGUGCUGCACAUCAUCGUUCUCAAUGAAGGAAUAACGAUCAAACCUCCUUUUACCUCUGAGAUAUGUGCAUUGAACUUAAAAAAAAAAAUAUAUCAAACAAAAGAAUAUUUUAUUAUACAUAUACUUAUAUACAUAUAUAUAUACAUCUAUAUAUAUAUAUAUAUAUAUAUACAUACGAACCAUGCAAUACACAAUAAUGUGGACACUAUAUAAAUGCGUUACUCGCAUAAAUGUAAUAUACGUGAGAUAGCGCACAGACUAAUCGGAGGAUUGAGGUAUUCUCUCAUUAACUCAUUAGUUGAUAGUUUAAAUACUAUGAUAUGUAGCAAAAUGCUUGUUUUUAUAAUGUGCAGUUUAAUUUAGAGGUGGAGAACACAUUUUUUGCAUGCAAUGCACUAUAAAAUAUUUAUAUUUAUUUUUAAACGUUUUUAUAGCUGUCCAUCUUGAAAUAAUGUAAAGGUCGUUUCUAUUGCAAUCCAACCCCUAUACGGAGGACAACGAUAGAGCGAAUAUUAUCCAGAAGAGAUUUUGUUUUGCGGAAACUAAAAUACAUUCCACGUAUAGACAGUUUGAAACAACAGAGCGUGUCCUUCUAUUGCUCGUAAAGAAUAUUAAUUUACAUUUACCUGUUCGGCUGUGCCACAAGAUCGCUUGACGUUGAGCCACAUAGGGAUAAAUUGCAAUAUAGAUCACCUGAUUCUUGCAAUGCAGUUUAAUAUAGUGUGUUCCAUAAUAUUGAAUGUAUAAAUAUCAGAAAAGCUGUUUAUCAUCGGCAAAAGAUUUAAAAACAUGAAGUAUAAGGCAUCAGUUUAGGAUUU